rnacentral:rRNA from 1 species
GACGAACGCUGGCGGCGUGCCUAAUACAUGCAAGUUGAGCGAUGAAGCUUGGUGCUUGCACCAAUUUGAAGAGCAGCGAACGGGUGAGUAACGCGUGGGGAAUCUGCCUUUGAGCGGGGGACAACAUUUGGAAACGAAUGCUAAUACCGCAUAACAACUUUAAACAUAAGUUUUAAGUUUGAAAGAUGCAAUUGCAUCACUCAAAGAUGAUCCCGCGUUGUAUUAGCUAGUUGGUGAGGUAAGGGCUCACCAAGGCGAUGAUACAUAGCCGACCUGAGAGGGUGAUCGGCCAAAUUGGGACUGAGACACGGCCCAAACUCCUACGGGCGGCAGCAGUAGGGAAUCUUCGGCAAUGGACGAAAGUCUGACCGAGCAACGCCGCGUGAGUGAAGAAGGUUUUCGGAUCGUAAAACUCUGUUGGUAGAGAAGAACGUUGGUGAGAGUGGAAAGCUCAUCAAGUGACGGUAACUACCCAGAAAGGGACGGCUAACUACGUG